UCCCCCCGUCCAGCCCUUCCCAAAGUUGUUUGAUAACUUUAUUAUCGUCUUCACUUGAUACAUGGUGUCGGAAGGUUCAGCCAUCUGCAUUGGUCAUCUUCGUCUCGCCAGUGCCCAGUAAGGGCUUGACACAUUAUUAGAUGCUCAGUAAAUGUGUAUUGAGGCAGCCUCUGGUCUAGUCCAGGGCUCUUUCCACUAAAUCAUGAGUACUUUGAUUUACUAGUUAGUAGCCUCUCCUUGGAUAUACAAACACCUGGCCGAUGUUGUGGGUUACUGUGGAGGGAGAAGGAUCUGAAAUUACUUGAAAACAGUAUUGACGUCUAGAGUGACUGAUUUCUUCAGCUGCCUUUAGCCACGCAUUCUAUAGAAGUCUGCGAAGCCAGGGACAAGUGACCAUCUGUCCAGUUCUUCCACCUCCAGUAUUUUUAAACUCAUGAAUAGAGAUUAGUGAAAUCGAAGAGCGUUUGGAAGGGAAAGAUUAAAAAAGAGGUCAUUAAAGGCUAAAGAGGUCAUUAAAGCCUGAAUGGUGCUUGAGCUAAUGUACAUGAAAUUGCUUUUCCUUUUCCUUUUUUUUUUUUUUAAACAUAAGAGCAUCAGAGACAUAGAUUAAUGUAAGGUACACGAAGGCCUCAGCAGCACUUCUCACAAGCAUACUAUAUUUGUUAUGGGGUUGGUUUUUUCUUCUCAUCAGAAUGAAAGCUCCUUGAGAGGGGGUCUUUGAACAUCUGGAACAGUGCACUCUCAGGUGCUGAAUAUUUGUGGAGUGAAUAAAUGAGUGACUGUCUCGUUUUCA